rnacentral:rRNA from 1 species
UGGGGAAUUGUUCGCAAUGGGCGAAAGCCUGACGACGCAACGCCGCGUGGAGGACGAAGAUCUUCGGGUCGUAAACUCCUGUCGAGCGGGAAGAAAGCUCCACGACCGAAUACGUUGUGGAAGUGACGGUACCGCUAAAGGAAGCCCCGGCUAACUCCGUGCCAGCAGCCGCGGUAAUACGGGGGGGGCAAGCGUUGUUCGGAAUUACUGGGCGUAAAGGGCUCGUAGGCGGCCAACUAAGUCGGAUGUGAAAUCCCCAGGCUUAACCUGGGAACUGCAUCCGAUACUGGAUGGCUUGAAUUCGGGAGAGGGAUGCAGAAUUCCAGGUGUAGCGGUGAAAUGCGUAGAUAUCUGGAGGAAUACCGGUGGCGAAGGCGGCAUCCUGGACCGACAUUGACGCUGAGGAGCGAAAGCUAGGGGAGCAAACGG